rnacentral:lncRNA from 1 species
UGGUACCGGAAGACGGUCUCCAAGGCGCGGAACUACUCAGUGGUGAAGGCUGUGCGGACACUGGGGGCCCGCCAGGGGUUUGGCCCCUUACUCAACCCAACCACGGUCCUCUCCGGCGCAGGCCGAUUUGAGGACCUAGACUCCUUGAUGCUGACGGCCUGAGGGGGCUCCCGGGUGCCGGAUAUCUGACACAGGCCAGGGAGGCUCCCCUGGGAGACCUGGCAGGCCUGGAGGUGUGAGUCGGCUCUGAGCAGCUGCUCUGGGAGAGCCAGUCCACGGAGCCAAAGCUGGAGGGCAGCUGCCGGCCACAAGUUGGGGAGGAGGAGAGACGCAAGGCCGUCAGAUGCUUGUCCUGGAAACCAACCAUGAGCUGUGAUGAAAUCCAGGCAACUGAGUUGUGUUUCAGCCCAAAGCAGCAAAUGGAAUCCAGCUUCAGGACCAUCAUCUGACAUAGGGGAAGAAGACUUACAUAGAAGGCCUAACCAGCACCCAAGAUCAUGCUCAUAGGUGGAGGAGACUUGCUUUGUCUCAGAUGAGACUUUGGACUGUGGACUUUUGAGUUAAUGCUGAAAUGAGUUGAGACUUUGGGGAACUGUUGGGAAGGCAUGAUUGGUUUUAAAUAUGAAUAUAUGAGAUUUGGGAGGGGGUCAGGGGUGGAAUGAUAUGGUUUGGCUCUGUGUCCCCACCCAAAUCUCAUCUUGUAGCUCCCAUAAUCCUCCCAUGUUGUGGGAGGGACCCAGUGGGAGAUGAUUGAAUCAUGAGGGCGGGUCUUUCUCAUGCUGUUCAUGAUCCCAUUCAUGUGAGAAAGACCCAUGUGAUCAUGAAUGGGUCUCACAAGAUCUGAUGGUGUUAAAAAUGGGAGUUUCUCUGCACAAGCUCUCUGCCUGCUGCCAUUCACAAAGGAUGUGACUUGCUUCUCCUUGCCUUCUGCUAUGAUUGUGAGGCCUCCCUAGCCAUGUGGAACUGUGAGUCCAAUUAAACCUCUUUCUUUUGUAAAUUGA